rnacentral:rRNA from 1 species
UACGGAGGGGGCUAGCGUUGUUCGGAAUUACUGGGCGUAAAGCGCACGUAGGCGGCUUUGCAAGUCAGAGGUGAAAGCCCGGGGCUCAACCCCGGAAUUGCCUUUGAGACUGCAUCGCUAGAACGUCGGAGAGGUGAGUGGAAUUCCGAGUGGUAGAGGUGAAAUCGUAGAUAUUAGGAAGAAACACCGGUGGCGAAGGACGACCAUCUGGACGGAUACUGACGCUGAGACGCGAAAGCGUGGGUAGCAAACAGG